UACGUAGGGUGCGAGCGUUAAUCGGAAUUACUGGGCGUAAAGUGUGCGCAGGUGGCUGAGCAAGUCGAGUGUGAAAUCCCCGGGCUUAACUUGGGAAUUGCGCUCGAAACUACUUGGCUCGAGUGUGGCAGAGGAAGGUGGAAUUCCAGGUGUAGCGGUGAAAUGCGUAGAGAUCUGGAGGAACACCGAUGGCGAAGGCAGCCCCCUGGGACCUGACUGACGCUCAUGUACGAAAGCGUGGGGAGCAAACAGG
rnacentral:rRNA from 1 species